CCAGGGAUGCGGGAGCCUGGUGGGCUGCCGUCUAUGGGGUCGCACAGAGUCGGACACGACUGAAGUGACUUAGCAGCAGCAGCAGCAGCAGCAACAGUGGGUCAGCAGGGACCUCCCCGUGAUUCAUUCUGUGAUUACUGUCCCAGUUCCCAUAUGUAUAGUUGGAAUAGAGGUCCUCAUCAACAACUACAUGCUGGCUUCUGGACUUGUGGAACGAAGGCUCUAGAUGAGCAAGGGGAAGCUUCUGUUCUCAGAUGGCAUCACAUUAGUUAACUUAAAGCAAUACCACACACCCCUGGAGGAGUUGUAGAGAUGAGUGUUAAUAUCAAACCCUUGAGUAAGGCGGGGAUUAUAAUUCCUAUUACAUUCCCCAACUCCCCCUCCCGCAUCCUCAUUAAGCUCUCCUGUCUGACCAGUGAGAAGAUCGAUGGGUCUUGAGAACAAUAUUAAUGGAUUAUCAGAAACUUAAUGAGAGGAUGAUUCCAAUGAAAGCUGCUUUUCCAUAUGGGGUUGAUUUUCUGAAGCCAGUGCACACAGACCCUGAUGCCUGAUGUGGAAUUGUCAAGUUGGCAAAUGCUUUUUUGAAAUUAAAUACCAGAGACCAAGGGCUUGCCUGGUGGUAAAGAAUCUGCCUGCCAAUGCAGGAGACAUGGGUUUGAUCCCUAGGUCAGGAAUAUUCCCUGGAGAAGGAAAUGGCAACCCACUCCAGUAUUCCAACCUGGGAAAUCCCAUGGACAGAGGAGCCUGGCAGGCUACAGUCCAUGGGGUCUCAAAAGAGUCAGACACAACUUAGCUACUAACCAAGAGACCAUAGAUGCAGUUUCCUUUUUAACUAGCAGAGGGGAGCAAUGGACAACCCGCUGCAUCAACUCUCUGGCUCUGUGGGGUCAUUUAGUUCAGAGAUUGGCUAACUUUUCCUGUAAAGGGCCAAACAGUAAAUAUUUUAGGCUUUGUGGACCAUGCAAAGUUUCUGUUGCAUGUUCUUCUUCCUCUUUUUAUUUUUUUACUCAGCUCAACAAAGUGAAAACUACUCUUAGCUAGAAGCUUUACAGAAGCAUGCUGCAGGGCAGAUUUUCCCUUCAGGCCAUAAUUUGCUGGCCCCUGAUGUGGUUCCUGGGCUGCUUAGCCAUCUCUCUAGUCCAUAGGAUGCCACUCUGCUCUACGACAUUGAUCAAACUGUAAUUAAGAACCUAGAAGACAGCAAGUAGCCCUGGAUAUCUCGGUUUUAGAAACUGGGAAAACCCUGCAGGAGCCCCAGACACAAGCUCUGAGAAGGAUGAACAGAAGACAAAGCUCAACAAUGAACAACAUAAUAGGAAUUUGACCUGAACAGUAAGAGAUUUGACUUUCUUGUUGCCAGGUUGGCUUAACCCCAUCUGUAAGCGUGGUCAGUAGUGAUGACAGGACGGAGUCACCCAGGCUCAGCUAAGAUCCUGCUGUGGUAUUUACAGUUCACGACACACGAUGGGCGCAGAAAAGAAUGACGACGGAUAAAGAACAAGCAAAGAACAGGAGACUUCUUAGGACUUCCUCUAAAGUGUGAAGGCCACAUCCUUCCAUGGGGGGAGCUGGGAUGUGGGCAUAGGGACAGAAUCGUGUGGACAGGGGAGGUGACAUGGCAGACCAACAUGGGGCAGAGGGCACUCGGCAUCUGUGAACGAAAAGUGCCUUUGGCCUUGAGCUUCCUGCCUGGAGUUCAGUCGCCCCAAAGUCUUCUGAGUCCAACAAGAGACAGAUCUAGUUUCUCUCAUCUGCCACUCCUCACCUCCAGUUCAAAGCUAGCCUCCAGGAAACAUAAUCCUCUUCAGAGAUGUAGUAGGGCUUGGAAUGAAGAUGACCUUUUUCAUUGUUAUGUAGAGCUGUUUGCUUCCUCUCUAUUUUGAAUGUCCCAUUGUAGAAUAAUAUUCUUUUUGGCUUUAUCAUUACCACCAGUGGAUUACCACCACUUUAUCGAAAUCCACCAGAGUACCUUGUUUCCCCCAAAUCAAAAGCAAUCUGAUCACGUGGUUGAAGUUAAGCUUCUAUUUGGAGAACUUGAUAAAAUGUUCCUAGUUCUAAAAUAGUGGUGUUUCCUGGCUCUCUGCUCCCGAUCACAUCUGAGUACCCUAUCAAGGUUUUUUUUGUUUGUUUUUGUUUUUAAAUAAAACAUGCAAGUCUACUCUCAGCUGAAGCUUUCCAUUACAAAACCAGAAAAGGCUAACUCAGGGAGGUUUUUAUUUUUAUGUUAUAGAAAACAUAAAAUGAGUCAAUCAUUUGUUUUCAUUAUAACUUUCAGGAAAAUGAAAUUCAGCCUUAUAAAAUGUUACUUCAUUUUAGACCAAAUAAAAUGGUUGUCUUUUCACACUGAUGAAUUUCCUCAACCUUUUCCUAAGGUUUCAAACGAUCCUAUUUGCCCACAAGUGCUGUGUUUCAAAGGAAGAGCACUUUUGAGUUAUCUAUAAUGAUUUCUCGGCUUUUACCUUAGAGAAUAUUGCAAUGCGUUCUGCGUGAGAAGCUUAUAUUCUAUUUACAAAGAAAAAUAUCUGUAACUUUAUGCUUUGCUGGAAUAUGUUAUAGAAACCAAUACUCAAGUGUACAUGAAAAAGUUACUCUGGAAUUUCUAAAAUCUUCAAAAAGUUAGUGAUCUCACACACACACACACAUGCAUUAGCAUAUACACAUUCAUUCAUCAAUUUGUGUAACAUGGGAUGAGGUUUUGGAAAUAACCCAUAUGAAUUUACUCUUCAUGGUAACUCAAAGUCUUUCUCUGUAUCUUCCCUGGCAUUAUUGUUCCAAGAAAGGGAAGUACAAGUGCUACCAGAAAAAGAGGAGGCUAUGAGAUAGGAGCCUUGAUGAACAGGGUAGCAAAGUACAAAAUGAGGAGGGGAGAAAGGGCAGGAGAUGAGAAAGGGGAAGGAAUACACAUGUGAUUGUCCUGCUCCUCCCUUAGAGGUUAAUCUUCAAGGGAGGGAGUAGAUACAUUUUCCGAAGAACCCCCCAACAUGGCCCCUCUCAGAGAAGUUCCACACUAGGGGGACAUGUUAGAAAGCCUUGACAGAGGAAGGUUCUAGAUGGAUGGACCAUGGUUUCUCAUGACCUUCAUGUGCUACAUGCGGGUCUAAAGUUCCCGAUGACCUUGCGAGGAACACAGAAGUGCUGAGAGAACCGUGGGUCAGAGAUGUCUCAGGGCUAAGUAAACCCCCUUCUAAGCAGAAGGUCCAAGAGAGGUGAAGCAGACCCUAAAAACUGAGAGGUUUUUCAGCAAGUGUAGGAAGAGGCUCCAGUUGGAUAUAACUUGAUUUAAAAAUAAAUAAAUGUGAGCUUCCCUGGUGGCUCAGUGGUGGGGGUCUUCCUGCGGUGCAGGAGAGGUGGGGUCAAUCCCUGGUCCUGGAGCAUCCCACGUGCCAUGGAGCAGCUGAAUCCGGCGGGCCACAGCUAUUGAGCCUGUUCUGUAGAGCCCAGGUGCUGCAACAACUGAAGCCCAC